AUGGCGGCCGGAGGAUUAAUGGAGCAGGACCUAAGAAAUCUUGAUGUCACAAAGCUCCACCCUUUGUCACCUCAAGUUAUCUCACGCCAAGCCACCAUCAACAUUGGUACAGUUGGUCAUGUGGCCCACGGGAAGUCUACCGUUGUGAAAGCUAUAGCCGGAGUUCAGACUGUUCGCUUCAAGAAUGAGCUUGAACGUAACAUCACUAUCAAGCUGGGUUAUGCUAAUGCAAAAAUCUAUAAAUGCGAGGACGACAGGUGUCCACGACCAAUGUGCUGCAAAUGCUCUAAUGGAAGCAGAAAAGAAGAUUCUCCUGCCUGUGAUGUCCCUGGGUUUGAAAACACUAGGAUGAAGCUUCUGAGACAUGUUUUCUUUGUUGAUUGUCCAGGACACGACAUUCUCAUGGCCACAAUGCUUAAUGGAGCAGCUAUCAUGGAUGGAGCCUUGCUUUUGAUAGCAGCAAAUGAGAGCUGCCCACAACCCCAGACAUCCGAGCAUCUGGCGGCUCUUGCGGGUCUCAAACACCUCAUAAUUCUGCAGAAUAAGAUUGAUGUUAUCCAGGAGAGUGCAGCAAUGAAUCAGCAUGAAGCAAUCCAAAAAUUCAUCCAGGGCACGAAAGCUGAAGGUGCUCCUGUGGUGCCAAUAUCCGCCCAGCUCAAGUACAACAUUGAUGUCAUCUGUGAAUAUAUUGUGAAGAAAAUCCCCAUUCCAGAGAGGAACUUCACAUCACCUCCCAACAUGAUUGUCGUUCGCUCCUUCGAUGUCAACAAGCCCGGUUCAGAGGUUAAUGAGAUCAGGGGUGGGGUGGCAGGUGGCACCAUCCUCAGGGGAGUCCUGAGGGUGAACCAAAAUAUCGAAGUUCGCCCUGGCAUGGUCUUGAAGGAUGCGAGCGGCAAAAUCAAAUGCUCCCCGAUCUACUCGAGGAUCGUCUCGCUCUAUGCCGAACAGAAUGAACUCCAAUUUGCUAUCAACUUCUUACUUCUCCCAAGUCUUCUGGGUGUGAGAUCAAAGGGUGCGGAGAAGGCAGGGAAGGUCGCCAAGCUCAGCAAGCGUGAGAUCUUGAUGCUUAACAUAGGGUCAAUGUCGACUGGCGCCCGCGUGGUCGCUAAGGUCGCCCUGAGCCGCCGUGUCGACAAGCAUUGGCGCCUCAUCGGAUGGGGCCAGAUCCAAGCUGGCGCAAUGCUUGAAAUCCCGGUCUGA
rnacentral:rRNA from 1 species